GAUGAACGCUAGCUACAGGCUUAACACAUGCAAGUCGCGGGACCGGCGCACGGGUGAGUCACGCGUAUCCACCCUGCCCUUCACCACGGGAUAACCCGGCGAAAGUCGGACUAAUACCGUAUGGUGAGGGAUGGGGAUGCGUCCGAUUAGCUUGACGGCGGGGUAACGGCCCACCGGGGCUACGAUCGGUAGGGGUUCUGAGAGGAAGGUCCCCCACAGUGGAACUGAGACACGGUCCAGACUCCUACGGGAGGCAGCAGUGAGGAAUAUUGGUCAAUGGGCGUAAGCCUGAACCAGCCAAGUAGCGUGCAGGACGACGGCCUAUGGGUUGUAAACUGCUUUUAUGCGGGGAUAGGUACCGCAUGAAUAAGGACCGGCUAAUUCCGUGCCAGCAGCCGCGGUAAUUC
rnacentral:rRNA from 1 species